rnacentral:rRNA from 1 species
AAAGAUUAAGCCAUGCAUGUCUAAGUAUAAGCAACUAUACGGUGAAACUGCGAAUGGCUCAUUAAAUCAGUUAUCGUUUAUUUGAUAGUACCUUACUACAUGGAUAACCGUGGUAAUUCUAGAGCUAAUACAUGCUAAAAACCUCGACUUCGGAAGGGGUGUAUUUAUUAGAUAAAAAACCAAUGCCCUUCGGGGCUCCUUGGUGAAUCAUAAUAACUUAACGAAUCGCAUGGCCUUGCGCCGGCGAUGGUUCAUUCAAAUUUCUGCCCUAUCAACUUUCGAUGGUAGGAUAGUGGCCUACCAUGGUAUCAACGGGUAACGGGGAAU